rnacentral:rRNA from 1 species
CAACCCUCGGAAACGAAGAUGCUAAUAACACGGAUAACAACAGAUGAUGCCUAUCAACUGUUUAAAAGAUGGUUCUGCUAUCACUCUUGGAUGGACCUGCGGUGCAUUAGCUAGUUGGUAGGGUAACGGCCUACCAAGGCGAUGAUGCAUAGCCGAGUUGAGAGACUGAUCGGCCACAUUGGGACUGAGACACGGCCCAAACUCCUACGGGAGGCAGCAGAG